rnacentral:rRNA from 1 species
CACGUAGGGCGCGAGCGUUGUCCAGAAUUAUUGGGCGUAAAGAGCGCGCAGGCGGUCGUGCAAGUCGCGUGUGAAAGCCCCCGGCUCAACUGGGGAGGGUCACGCGAUACUGCUCGACUCGAAGGCAGGAGAGGGAAGUGGAAUUCCCGGUGUAGUGGUGAAAUGCGUAGAUAUCGGGAGGAACACCAGUGGCGAAGGCGACUUCCUGGCCUGUUCUUGACGCUGAGGCGCGAAAGCUAGGGUAGCAAACGGG